CAGCAGCCGCGGUAAAACGGAGGGUGCAAGCGUUAAUCGGAAUUACUGGGCGUAAAGCGCACGCAGGCGGUUUGUUAAGUCAGAUGUGAAAUCCCCGAGCUUAACUUGGGAACUGCAUUUGAAACUGGCAAGCUAGAGUCUUGUAGAGGGGGGUAGAAUUCCAGGUGUAGCGGUGAAAUGCGUAGAGAUCUGGAGGAAUACCGGUGGCGAAGGCGGCCCCCUGGACAAAGACUGACGCUCAGGUGCGAAAGCGUGGGGAGCAAACAGGAUUAGAUACCCCUGUAGUCCCUGUCUCUUAUAC
rnacentral:rRNA from 1 species